CCAAAACAAAGAGAAACUAAGUUUUUUUCUCAGCUUUACUCGCGAUUUGCUCUGUUUCAGUGAAUCAAUAACAACACAAAAAAAAAAACCGCUCUCUUCCUCACUCGCUCUCUCGAUGAAAUUCAAACUACAACAUCAAAAGCUCAUACGCCAAUCUCUCUCGAUUCAUUCUCUCUCGGUUUAGUUCAGUUAUGGCCACAACAACAACAAUCGAAACCAAACACAUCCCUCUCGUUCUCUUUUGAUUCUCUCACGGAUUCAAGAACAUAUUAACAUUCAAACAGCUAAGCAAUCACAGCAUAUAAAUCCAAUUCCCAGCAAGAACCCUAAAAGCCCAUUCCAAUACGAUUCCGAAGAGAUUUACAAGAUACAAAUUUCAAUCGAUUGAAAGGAAAAAUUAACGGAAAAGGAAAAACGAAAGAAAACAGGUUUGUGGAGCAGAGUUUUGUUUUGUGCAGCAGACAUGGCAUGGGAUGAGCAGGUUGUCUGGCGUGGGAAGUUUUGGUGAAGAGGGAAACAACAUCUUUUUUUCUCAUUUGUUUGUUUUUUCUGUAAAAUGGGCCAUGUUGUUCUUUUCAAUAAAUGGGCCUCAUGGCUGCAUUAUUUUCUCUAACAAUGCUAAAAAUAAUAAAAUUAAUGCAUAUAAUACAA